UACGGGGGGGGCAAGCGUUGUUCGGAAUUACUGGGCGUAAAGGGCUCGUAGGCGGCCAACUAAGUCAGACGUGAAAUCCCCAGGCUCAACCUGGGAACUGCGUCUGAUACUGGAUGGCUUGAAUCCGGGAGAGGGAUGCAGAAUCCCAGGUGUAGCGGUGAAAUGCGUAGAUAUCUGGAGGAAUACCGGUGGCGAAGGCGGCAUCCUGGACCGGCAUUGACGCUGAGGAGCGAAAGCUAGGGGAGCAAACGGG
rnacentral:rRNA from 1 species